rnacentral:rRNA from 1 species
UACGGAGGGGCUAGCGUUGUUCGGAAUUACUGGGCGUAAAGCGCACGUAGGCGGCUUUGUAAGUUAGAGGUGAAAGCCCGGGGCUCAACCCCGGAAUUGCCUUUAAGACUGCAUCGCUUGAACGUCGGAGAGGUGAGUGGAAUUCCGAGUGUAGAGGUGAAAUUCGUAGAUAUUCGGAAGAACACCAGUGGCGAAGGCGGCUCACUGGACGACUGUUGACGCUGAGGUGCGAAAGCGUGGGGAGCAAACAGG